rnacentral:rRNA from 1 species
AUUGAACGCUGGCGGCAGGCUUAACACAUGCAAGUCGAGCGGGGAAAGGUAGCUUGCUACCUGACCUAGCGGCGGACGGGUGAGUAAUGCUUAGGAAUCUGCCUAUUAGUGGGGGACAACAUUCCGAAAGGAAUGCUAAUACCGCAUACGCCCUACGGGGGAAAGCAGGGGAUCUUCGGACCUUGCGCUAAUAGAUGAGCCUAAGUCAGAUUAGCUAGUUGGUGGGGUAAAGGCCUACCAAGGCGACGAUCUGUAGCGGGUCUGAGAGGAUGAUCCGCCACACUGGGACUGAGACACGGCCCAGACUCCUACGGGAGGUAGCAGUGGGGAAUAUUGGACAAUGGGCGAAAGCCUGAUCCAGCCAUGCCGCGUGUGUGAAGAAGGCCUUUUGGUUGUAAAGCACUUUAAGCGAGGAGGAGGCUACUGAGAUUAAUACUCUUGGAUAGUGGACGUUACUCGCAGAAUAAGCACCGGCUAACUCUGUGCCAGCCGCCGCCGUAAAAC